rnacentral:rRNA from 1 species
UACGUAGGGGGCAAGCGUUAUCCGGAUUUACUGGGUGUAAAGGGAGCGUAGGCGGCGAUGCAAGUCAGAAGUGAAAGCCCGGGGCUCAACUCCGGGACUGCUUUUGAAACUGUGUUGCUAGAUUGCAGGAGAGGUAAGUGGAAUUCCUAGUGUAGCGGUGAAAUGCGUAGAUAUUAGGAGGAACACCAGUGGCGAAGGCGGCUCUCUGGUCUGCAACUGACGCUGAGGCUCGAAAGCAUGGGUAGCGAACAGG